GUUUUUACCGGUGAAGGGAGGGGCGUGGCGCCUGAACACUCCCAAACUGCACCAAACCACAUCUGACUUCUGCUCGGACUGUUGGCUGCAAUUCAGCGUCAGUCUGCUUUAUCAUCAUAUGGUGACUACCCAACAUGCUGUGGAGCUGUAAAUACUAUUUGUCUGGAAUUCAAAAGGAUUGUGGGAAAAGACCUGCACCAGGAAUUUUAUUCUGCCCUUGAUAACCACACUACCCAUUUUAUUGAAAGUUUUAAAGCUAAGAGGGGCAACGUGGGUGACAGUUGGCACAGCUUUUGCAGCAAAUACAGUCACUGGAUUCUACUGAAAAAAGGACAGUCACACUAAGAGGUCUUCCUUACUUACUCGGAGACAGUCCCACCGAAUUCUUUUCGUUUUGAUGGUGAUGAAUCCUUUCACCAAAUGGACAUUGGGAUCUUGUUAGUAAAUCUGAAGGUGUCUCUCUUCCAACACCAGAUCUUCCCCCAGCAAGCCUGAAAAUCAUCAUUGAGGGUGAAAUUGUUAUGGACAAGCUGACAACCCUUAUAACCCCUUGUUUGAAUUGUGAAAUGUAAAACACAAAAGCAAAUGCUGUUACAGGGAACAAA